AGUGAACGCUGGCGGCGUGCUUAACACAUGCAAGUCGAACGAGAACGGGUUAUAGCUUGCUAUAAUUGUCAGCUAUGUGGCGCACGGGUGAGUAAUGUAUAGGUAAUAUGCCUCUUACUAAGGGAUAACAAAUGGAAACGUUUGCUAAUACCUUAUACUCCUUAUUAACAGAAGUUAAUAAGGGAAAGAUUUAUUGGUAAGAGAUUAGCCUGUAUUGUAUCAGUUAGUUGGUGGGGUAAUGGCCUACCAAGACUAUGACACAUAACUGGUUUGAGAGGAUGAUCAGUCACACUGGAACUGAGACACGGUCCAGACUCCUACGGGAGGCAGCAGUGGGGAAUAUUGCACAAUGGACGAAAGUCUGAUGCAGCAACGCCGCGUGGAGGAUGACACAUUUCGGUGCGUAAAUUCCUUUUAUAUGAGAAGAUAAUGACGGUAUUAUAUGAAUAAGCACCGGCUAACUCCGUGCCAGCCGCCGCCGUAA
rnacentral:rRNA from 1 species